UGCUGAGCUGGACUUUGUAUUUCCCAGCAUGAGUCUUACGUUGGACAUUCUUCAUGACAAGAUGAGUAUAGUGCUCAGUGUUUUCAAUAGUAAUGUUUUCUGAGUUUUGCAAAAGUUUCUGACCAUGGAACCAAGUCAUGGCAGGUACUGGACGACCAAUGUACAUAACAUGAAGCCGAAGUGUGGAACCCACAGCUCCAUAAUAUUUCUCUUUCAGUGGGUAACCAGGAUGGAACUGUGGUGUUGCUUGCAGGAGAAGCUUACUACUGGUUUCUACUUCUCCAACCUCAUUGGUGGCUAUGCAGGCACUGUCUCCAGACUGUCUAUAUUCAACCCAGUAUCCAAGAAUUUCUUUGCCACCAUCACAUUCAGGUUUCUCCCACUGUAGAGUGACACUAUCUUUGGAUAUUGAAAGAAUCUCAAGUUCUCCUGGUUGGCUUGGUUUAUCUGAAAUAUUUUAAAAUAAUGAAAAGGGAAUCAGCUUUACUGGUGAAAUAAAAGGACCAAACAUG
rnacentral:antisense_RNA from 1 species